rnacentral:rRNA from 1 species
AGUGAACGCUGGCGGUAGGCCUAACACAUGCAAGUCGAACGGCAGCACAGUAAGAGCUUGCUCGUACGGGUGGCGAGUGGCGGACGGGUGAGGAAUACAUCGGAAUCUACUUUUUCGUGGGUAUAACGUAGGGAAACUUACUCUAAUACCGCAUACGACCUACGUGUGAAAUCAUGUGAGCUUCGGGCCUUGCGCGAUUUAAUUAGCCGAUGUCGGAUUAGCUAGUUGGCGGGGUAAAGGCCCACCAAGGCGACCAUCCGUAGAUGGGCUGAGAGGAUGAUCAGCGGCACUGGAACUGGGACACGGUCCAGACUCCUACGAGAGGCAGCAGUGGGGAAUAGUAGACAAUGGGCGCGAGCCUGAUCCAGCCAUACCGAGUGGGUGAAGAAGGCCUUCGGGUUGUAAAGCCGUUUUGUUGGGAAAGAAAAGCAGCAGGUUAAUACCCCGCUGUUCUGACGGUACCCAAAGAAUAAGCACCGGCUAACUUCGUG